rnacentral:rRNA from 1 species
AACGAACGCUGGCGGCACGCCUAACACAUGCAAGUCGAACGAAGCAUAAGAGCUUGCUCUUAUGACUGAGUGGCGCACGGGUGAGUAACACGUGGGAAUCUGCCUAUUGGUGGGGAAUAACUUUUGGAAACGAAAGCUAAUACCGCAUAAGCCCUAAGGGGGAAAGAUUUAUCGCCAAUAGAUGAGCCCGCGCUAGAUCAGCUAGUUGGUGAGGUAAGAGCUCACCAAGGCUACGAUCUAUAGCUGGUCUGAGAGGAUGGUCAGCCACACUGGGACUGACACACGGCCCAGACUCCUCCGGGAGGCAGCAGUGGGGAAUAUUGGACAAUGGGGGAAACCCUGAUCCAGCGAGGCCGCGUGAGUGAAGAAGGCCUUCGGGUUGUAAAGCUCUCUCAGAGGGGAUGAUAAUGACGGUACCCUCAGAAGAAGCACCGGCUAACUUCGUGCCAGCCGCCGCCGUAA